CACACACACAAAGACCCAGCUCGCCAGUAGAUCGCCAGAUCCCGACGGCACCCGACGCCGCCGCUCCCGAUGGCGCGUUCCCUCCUCCCGACGCCGCCCCUCCUCCCGAUGGCGCUCCUCUCCUCCGACGGCACUCCCUCCUCCCAGCUCGCGAUCCGUUUCCCGACACCGCUCCGCCGUUCCUCUCGUCGCCGAUCCCGUGACUGGCGCCGCCCGCCGCCAGCUCCUGGCCAUCCCCCGCAUUCAAGGCGGCGCCCUCCCGUUCCUGACGCCGCUCGCUCCUCCCAUCGCCGUUCCGCGAGUCCGAUCCGUCCUCCCGUCGCCGUCGAUCUCUCUCCGCCUGCCUUAUGAUCAGGUAAAGGUUUGGUUACAAUGAAGGGUUUUAACGGAUCAUUUCCUAAUGCUGUGUCAUCUGCUAAGGUACAAAGAAUAUGCAUUUUCACAUGUGGAUACCACUGUUGAGGCUAUUGUUUAGUGUUUACCAAUAUCUCAUAUUGAUAAUUUUGCCUUCUCUGCUCUAGAUAUUUGCUGUUCUUGCUGGUGUUCAAAGUUUGGUAGCCUGCUCUUUGAGAAAACUAUGUGGAAAAGAUGAUAGUUUGUCUUCGGGAAUACAUGCAUCUCAAUUGAAAAUAUUACACUAUCAUUAUUACGUAUUUUGCAUGUUAACUAGUUUUUUCAUUCACAUUUGUUAUUUGCAACUAUGAAAUUAACACAAUGCUGACUCCUUAUUGGAAAGUACAUUUGGAAAUAAAAUUGCUAGAGGAGCUCGCUGCUGGCGCAUGCUGGAGGGAGGAGCAAAGCUCUGUUGUCAUUGCAAAGUUGAUGAUAAUGGCAAACACAACAGGUCGGCUGGGCAGGAAACAGAUUGUGACAGCAUAAACUUAUUCCUUGAGUUGCAAAGUCUGUGUUGUAUUAGUGAUGCGUUCCUCAGGAUUGAAAGUUUAGCCUGCUUCAUUAAAAAUAUUACAUUUUGUAAAAACUAUUGUUCGUUAGGUGGCUAGUCUCUGAUAGGGUCUCUUUUUUGGCAAGGGCCAUGUAUCUCUGUAUGUAUGUUCUUUUCUUUGUGAUUAAAAAUAUUCAGCAGAAGCCUCCUUGGUGUUUCCUCGCGGAAACAUAAAUACCAACAGUUCAUACGACUUUUCUUUCA